AAAGGAAUAGACGGGGGCCCGCACAAGUGGUGGAGCAUGUGGUUUAAUUCGAUGCUACGCGAAAAACCUUACCUGGGCUUGACAUCCCGCGCUAUCCUGUGAAAGCAGGAGUUCCCUUCGGGGACGCGGUGACAGGUGCUGCAUGGCUGUCGUCAGCUCGUGUUGUGAGAUGUUGGGUUAAGUCCCGCAACGAGCGCAACCCUUGCCGUUAGUUACCAUCAUUAAGUUGGGCACUCUAACGGGACCGCUAGGCUAUAAGCCAGAGGAAGGUGGGGAUGACGUCAAGUCCUCAUGGCCUUUAUGUCCAGGGCUACACACGUGCUACAAUGGACGGUACAAUCCGUUGCUAACUCGCAAGAGCAUGCUAAUCGUAAAAAACCGUCCUCAAUUCGGAUUGGAGUCUGCAACUCGACUCCAUGAAGCUGGAAUCACUAGUAAUCGUGGAUCAGAACGCCACGGUGAAUACGUUCCCGGGCCUUGUACACACCGCCCGU
rnacentral:rRNA from 1 species